GAGGAGGACGGAGAGUUGGGGACAGGAAGUUCCUUUUAUAUUAAUUUCCCCCCUUGCAGUAGUUCCUGGUCCUCUCUACAAAGGCGUUCGAGCUCUGUGGUUUAACCCUGUCACUGCGCAGACAGACACUAGCAGAAGGGUUGCAGCUGCAAUUCAGCUAGCGGAGAGACAGCAUGUGCAGAUACCAGACAUGGACACACUAUUCCAGCAGAGGUCGCACCAGUGCCAAAUACAGAGUUUUCACCAAGAAGUGAAACUUGGUAGUGAUUGGACAUCUAAGAGGGCGAACACCAGUGAAAAUGAGAUAGGAUCUGAGGUUAAAAUAGAGAAGAACAAGUUAAAAAUUAUUUAGACAAGUUAGUUGUCUUCAAGUUGCUGUGGCCUGAUUAAAUGCAUCUUAGAAUACUCAAGGAGCUGACAGAGGAGAUAUCUGAGCCAUUAGUGAUGAUCUUUGAAAACUCAUGGAAGACAGGAGAGGUUUUGGAGAACUGGAAAAGGGCACAUAUAAUACCAAUCUAUAAAAAGGGGAAUAAGGACUACCUGGGGAAUUACAGACCAGUCAGUUUAACUUCAAUUCCUGGAAAGAUAAUGGAGCAAAUAAUCAAGCAAUCAAUUUGCAAACACACCUACAAGAUAAUAAAGUGAUGAAUCAUAGACUAUCAAGGUUGGAAGGGACCUCAGGAGGUCAUCUAGUCCAACCCCCUGCUCAAAGUAGGGCUAAUCCCCUGACAGAUUUUUGCCCCCGAUCUGUAAGGAUUGAAGUCCGAACCCUGGGUUUAGCAGGCCAAUGCUCAAACCACUGAGCUAUCCUUCCCCCAGAGUAACAAUCAGGAUGGAUUUGCCAAGAACAAAUCAUGUCAAACCAACCUAAUAGCUUUCUUUGACAGGAUAACAAGCCUUGUGGAUAGGGAUGAAAGGGCAGAUGUGGUAUAUCUUGACUUUAGUAAGGAUUUUGAUACUGUCUCACGUGACCGUCUCAUAAACAAACUAGCGAAAUACAGCCUAGAUGGAACUACUAUAUGGUGGGUGCAUAACUGAUUGGAAAACCAUUCCCAGAGAGUAGUUAUCAGUGGUUCACAGUCAAACUGGAAGGGCAUAUCAAGUGGAGUCCCGCAGGGACAGGUCUUGGGUCCAAUUCUGUUCAAUAGCUUCAUCAAGGAUUUAGAUAAUGGCAUAGAUAAUACCUAGUCCUGCCUUGAGUGCAGGGGACUGGACUAGAAGACUUCUCGAGGUCCCUUCCAGUCCUAGGCUUUUAUGAUUCUAUGUAUAUAUUUACAUGUAGCCAUAUUAAAAUGCAUAUUGUUGGUUUGCGCCCAGCUUAUCAAGUGAUCCAGAUAGCUCUAUAUCAGACCUAUAUUCUUCAUUUGUGUGUCAUCUACAAACUUUAUCAGUGAUGGUUUUCUUCCAGAUGAAAGAACCUGGUGUACUGCUUUCGCAAGACUCAACAGGGCAUCCAUCUUAUUCGCUUAAUGAAUUCUUCCAAAUUUUGCACAUAUAGAGGUAGCCAGGACAGGGAUUGUACUUCAGCCACUUGGACUGAAAUUUUUGGUGCCAGGUAUCCGUCUCAAGUUGAUUUUUUUUUUUUAAAGUUUCAGCUAAAUUAGUUCAGCCAUUUGUAACAGAUAUUUGUAACAGUUUAGCUACCAGUAAGUUUCCACAGCAAAAUUUAGCACAAAUAUAAAGAAUUCUGGAUGUAAAACAUUCUAUAUAAUAUACCUUAUUUGCUAUUAGCUACUUUCUUAUUUUAAUAGCACAAUACCCUUUAUUCAAUCUCACUGUAGUUACAUCAGUAAAUCAAUUUACACAUUUUGGUUAAUACUAGGGCUGUCAAGUGAUUAAAAAGAUUAAUCGUGGUAUUAAACAAUAAUAGAAUACCAUUUAUUUAAAUACUUUUGGAAGUUUUCUACAUUUUCAAAUAUAUUGAUAUCAAUUACAACACAGAAUACAAAGUGUACAGGGCUCACUUUAUAUUUAUUUUUAUUACAAAUAUUUGCACUGUAAAAAACAAAAGAAAUACACCUCUACCACUGUAUAACGCUGUCAUCAGGAGCCAAAAAAUCUUACCGCAUUAUAGCUGAAACCGCGUUAUAUUGAACUUGCUUUGAUCCACCGGAGUGUGCAGCCCUGCCCUGUUUUACCGCGUUAUAUCCAAAUUCGUGUUAUAUCAGGUCGCGUUAUAUGGAGGUAGUGGUGUAGUAUUUUUAAAUUCACCUCAUACGAGUACUGUAGUGCAAUCUCUUUAUCAUGAAAGUUGAACUUACAAAUGUAGAAUUAUGUACAAAAAAACCUGCAUUCAAAAAUAAAACAAUGUAAAACUUUAGAGCCUACAAGUCCACUCAGUCCUACUUCUUGUUCAGCCAACCGCUUAGACAAACAAGUUUGUUUACAUUUGCAGAAGAUAAUGCUGCCUGCUUCUAGUUUACAAUGUCACCUGAAAGUGAGAGCAGGCUUUUGUAUGGCACUGUUUUAGCUGGCGUCCCAAGAUAUUUACAUGUCUAAUGCGCUAAAGAUUCAUAUGUACCUUCAUGCUUCAACCACCAUUCCAGAGGACAUGCGUCCAUGCUGAUGACAGGUUCUGCUCAAUAACAAUCCAAAGCAGUGUGGACCGACGCAUGUUCAUUUUCAUCAUCUGAGUCAGAUACCACCAGCAGAAGGUUGAUUUUCUUUUUUGGUGGUUUGGAUUCUGUAGUUUCUGCAUCAGAGUGUUGCUCUUUUUUAAGACUUCUGAAAGCAUGCUCCACAUAGGGUGACCAGAUGACAGAGGUGAAAUAGCAGUAUGCGGGGGGCCCAGAGCAAAAAAAAAAAAAAAAAAAAAAAAACAAGCUGGCGGCGGAGCAAAACAAAAAAAACCGCCGGAGCACAGGAAAAAUUGGUGGGGGCUGAGAACUCACCGGCAGCUCCACGCCCUCGCACCCCACACCAGCUUGCCUCCGCUCCGUCUCCACCUCCCCCCUUGGGGAGGGAGGGGGGCAGCACGCAGAGACCCCCCCCCCAGCCAGAGGGACCUGCCAGGGGGCCAGGUGAGUCCCAGCAGUGCUAGCCUUACCUGGAGCGGCUCCCAGGAAGCAUCCAGCAGGCAGGUCCUGUCCCUCUGG